GUUGCUCCAGAAGUGGCAGCGCCAACCCGCAAGGGAGGCAGGUUCCCAAGGAGUGGCUGGUGACUGGGGUGAAGUCGUAACAAGGUAGUCGUAGGUGAACCUGCAGAAGGAUCA
rnacentral:rRNA from 1 species